UACGGGGGGGGGCAAGCGUUGUUCGGAAUUACUGGGCGUAAAGGGCUCGUAGGUGGCCAACUAAGUCAUACGUGAAAUCCCUCGGCUUAACCGGGGAACUGCGUCUGAUACUGGCGAGCUUGAGUUCGGGAGAGGUGAGUGGAACUGCGAGUGUAGAGGUGAAAUUCGUAGAUAUUCGCAAGAACACCAGUGGCGAAGGCGGCUCACUGGCCCGAUACUGACGCUGAGGUGCGAAAGCGUGGGGAGCAAACAGG
rnacentral:rRNA from 1 species